rnacentral:rRNA from 1 species
CAAUAGCGUAUAUUAAAGUUGUUGCAGUUAAAAAGCUCGUAGUUGGAUUUCUGGUUGAAGCGACCGGUCGGGCGUUGAUUCGUCCGCACUGGAGUCGGUUUUGGCCAUCCUCUAGGAAAGUGCGUCUGGUAUUAAGUUAUCGGGCGUAUGAUCCUGGUCUUUUACUGUGAAAAAAUUAGAGUGUUUAAAGCAGGCCUUCGCCUUGAAUACAUUAGCAUGGAAUAAUAAGAUAGGACUUUGGUCUAUUUUGUUGGUUUGCAGACCGAAGUAAUGAUUAAUAGGGAUAGUUGGGGGUAUUUAUAUUCCGAUGUCAGAGGUGAAAUUCUUAGAUUUUCGGAAGAUAAACUUAUGCGAAAGCAUUUACCAAGGAUGUUUNCAUUAA